rnacentral:rRNA from 1 species
CCUACGGGCGGCAGCAGUGAGGAAUAUUGGUCAAUGGACGAGAGUCUGAACCAGCCAAGUAGCGUGAAGGAUGACUGCCCUCUGGGUUGUAAACUUCUUUUAUAUGGGAAUAAAAUGUUCCACGUGUGGGAUUUUGUAUGUAUCAUAUGAAUAAGGAGCGGCUAACUCUGUGCCAGCAGCCGCGGUAAUACGGAGGAUCCGAGCGUUAUCCGGAUUUAUUGGGUUUAAAGGGAGCGUAGGUGGAUUGUUAAGUCAGUUGUGAAAGUUUGCGGCUCAACCGUAAAAUUGCAGUUGAAAUUGGAAGUCUUGAGUACAGUAGAGGUGGGCGGAAUUCGUGGUGUAGCGGUGAAAUGCUUAGAUAUCACGAAGAACUCCGAUUGCGAAGGCAGCUCACUGGACUGCAACUGACACUGAGGCUCGAAAGUGUGGGUAUCAAACAGGAUUAGAUACCCGUGUAGUC